rnacentral:miRNA from 1 species
UACUCCUGUUCUGUGUAUGGCACUGGUAGAAUUCACUGUGCAACCCCGCGGU